rnacentral:rRNA from 6 species
CAAAUGACUCUCGGCAAUGGAUAUCUCGGCUCUUGCAUCGAUGAAGAACGUAGUGAAAUGCGAUACUUGGUGUGAAUUGCAGAAUCUCGUGAACCAUUGAGUCUUUGAACGCAAGUUGUGCCCGAGGCCUCGUGUCGAGGGCACGCCUGCUUGGGGGUCAUGG